GGCCUUCGACAGUACUUGGGAGGUAAUUUCUGUUGAUCAUUCUCCUGGUCUCCAUGACAAAAAUUUGAAGAGGAGCAUAUUCCAUUUUGUUGCAGUAUCCCUUAAUACUGAAAAAUUGGGAAAUCAUGACUUAUUUACCCAAUCAAACUUAGAUUCUGAGUUGGACUUAUUUUGAUAAAUCUACUAGUAUUAUCCGUUACUGCUUCGCUCAAAUUGUAAAAAUUACAAGAUGUCAACUUGUAGUAUCUGUUGCUUACUACUACUAUUCCAACUUAACCAUUACACUUCUU
rnacentral:misc_RNA from 1 species